rnacentral:rRNA from 1 species
CCNCCUAAGGCUUCUUCGGAAGCCUUGGCGGACUCCUCAGUAACACGUGGAUAACCUGCCCUUGGGACUGGCAUAACCCCGGGAAACUGGGGAUAAUACCAGAUAGAUCAGGGAUGCUGGAAUGCACCCUGAUCCAAAGCUCAGGCGCCCAAGGAUGGAUCUGCGACCUAUCAGGUUGUAGUGGGUGUAACGUACCUACUAGCCGACGACGGGUACGGGUUGUGAGAGCAAGAGCCCGGAGAUGGAUUCUGAGACACGAAUCCAGGCCCUACGGGGUGCAGCAGGCGCGAAACCUUUACAAUGUGCGAAAGCAUGNUAAGGGAACUCCGAGUGCCAGCAUCUAAUGCUGGCUGUCCUUGUGCCUAAAACGUACAAGAUAGCAAGGGCCGGGUAAGACCGGUGCCAGCCGCCGCGGUNACACCGGCGGCCCGAGUGGUAGCCCGCUUUUNUUGGGUCUAAAGGUUCCGUAACCCGGUUCCGUUAAGNCCUCUGGGAAAUCUGGUUNCUCAACAAUCAAACUACCAGGGGAUACUGUCGAACU